AGCGAACGCUGGCGGCAGGCUUAACACAUGCAAGUCGAGCGGGCGUAGCAAUACGUCAGCGGCAGACGGGUGAGUAACGCGUGGGAACAUACCUUUUGGUUCGGAACAACACAGGGAAACUUGUGCUAAUACCGGAUAAGCCCUUACGGGGAAAGAUUUAUCGCCGAAAGAUUGGCCCGCGUCUGAUUAGCUAGUUGGUGAGGUAAUGGCUCACCAAGGCGACGAUCAGAGCUGGUCUGAGAGGAUGAUCAGCCACAUUGGGACUGAGACACGGCCCAAACUCCUACGGGAGGCAGCAGUGGGGAAUAUUGGACAAUGGGCGCAAGCCUGAUCCAGCCAUGCCGCGUGAGUGAUGAAGGCCCUAGGGUUGUAAAGCUCUUUUGUGCGGGAAGAUAAUGACGGUACCGCAAGAAUAAGCCCCGG
rnacentral:rRNA from 1 species